rnacentral:rRNA from 1 species
UACGAAGGGGGCUAGCGUUGCUCGGAAUCACUGGGCGUAAAGGGCGCGUAGGCGGAUCUUUAAGUCGGGGGUGAAAGCCUGAGGCUCAACCUCAGAAUUGCCUUCGAUACUGGAGAUCUUGAGACCGGAAGAGGUAAGUGGAACUGCGAGUGUAGAGGUGAAAUUCGUAGAUAUUCGCAAGAACACCAGUGGCGAAGGCGGCUUACUGGUCCGGUUCUGACGCUGAGGCGCGAAAGCUAGGGGAGCAAACGGG